GAUGAACGCUGGCGGCAUGCCUAAUACAUGCAAGUCGAACGAGCUCUUCGGAGCUAGUGGCGGACGGGUGAGUAACACGUUGGUACUUACCCCGAAGUGGGGAAUAACUGCCCGAAAGGGUGGCUAAUACCGCAUAAUACCGUAAGGUUAAAGCAGUAAUGCGCUUCGGGAGGGGCCUGCGUCCCAUUAGCUAGUUGGCGGGGUAAAUGCCCACCAAGGCGACGAUGGGUAGCUGGAUCGAGAGGUUGACCAGCCACACUGGGACUGAGAUACGGCCCAGACUCCUACGGGAGGCAGCAGUAAGGAAUCUUCCACAAUGGACGAAAGUCUGAUGGAGCAAUGCCGCGUGCAGGAUGACGGCCUUCGGGUUGUAAACUGCUUUUAUAUGGGAAGAUUAUGACGGUACCAUAUGAAUAAGGACCGGCUAACUACGUGCCAGCAGCCGCCGUAA
rnacentral:rRNA from 1 species